GGGGCGGGGGGCGCUGACUGUGCCGCGCAUGCGCCCGCGGGCUGUGGGCGGUGCGCGUGACUGUGCGGCGCGAGGAGCAAUUUCUAAUCCUUAAAGCGGCCGUGGGGGCAGGAGGCGGCGGCGGCGGCGCUGCGGGGCCGAGAUUUGGUGCAGCUGUGCCCAUACCACUUCAUUAUUGCGCCUUGCAUAUAAAGGGCUUCCAGUGUGUGAAUGUGAGCAGACAAAACAAGCACGUAAUUUAAGAUGUCAAUGUGUGGACGACAAGUAGAGGGGCCUUUGGGAAACCUACGUCCCCCAAAACAUGAAUUAUUUUGCUUCUCUUCUGGACGAAAUUACCCAAUAGGAGAAAAAAAAAGAAAGAAAAACUGGCAACAAAACAUGCAUAUCCUUUGCAACAUUGUCUUUGCAAAGCUGGUCUGUUGGGUCAUGCGCAGAAAACAGCCAAGUGGUGAGACUGAGAUUGUAUUGACAAGAACAAGAUGAAUGACCCCCUGGAGACUAUGGGGUUUGUAGGCUAGUUUCCACCACCUUUUCAUCCUUUUGUACCCCAUUUCAGUUCAUAUGCAGAUUAACUCAAACCAAGUCCUCACUAAAUACUCUUUUUCACUUUAGUUUUGGAAGGUAGACGGGAAGAUCUAAAUAUUUAUGAGGCUUUUUUCCUCUAGUUUAUGAUGCACUCUUGUUGAAUGUUGAGGAAUUACGUUAAUGAAUGCAUGCCUGCACACACAGACACAGAAACCAGGCAAAGGGGGAAAAAAACACACAAAGCGUUGUCAGCUCUAAUGUCGGCACUUACUGAACAGUUCCCAUGAAAGAAAAAAAAAAAAAAAAGAAAAAGGAAAAAAAAAAGGAAAAGGCAUAAAGAUUUAAAAUCUGUUGCCAGGAGAAAAAUAAAGUACAGCUGAAUACAAAAGAAGGAACAAAGUUUCAUCUUUACUUUCCUCAGCUGCAAAUGUAUUUUUUUUUCAACUCAGAAUAAAUUUGAAAUAAAACAUGAUAAUUGAAAAAUGAAAGCCUGUCUAAAAAGUGUGUUAACUAGAUUUGUGCUUUCAAUAAUGAAGUUAAGAUGAAGCUUCGAUGUCGUACACGGUUUUCCUUAACAUCAACAGUAAUAAACUUGAUGCAGGUUUUUUUUCUACGAUAAAAGAUACAAGCAUAUAGCUGUGUCAGACAAGGCCCUGCUCACAGAAGUGGGACAGUAGUUCUACAGUUUUGUCUCAUAAUCAUGAAUCAGGACAUGAGAUUUUAAAAUGUGCUUUUGUGCUAUCAUUUAAAACUUACUGAAGCAAUGGCAGAAUGCGAACGCUUAGCCCUUAAAAAGUAAUAGUAUUUCACUGUCUAGGCUCUGUUUUUCAUAUUUAUAAGACGCCUGAGUUUCAUAAACCAUUACCCCUAAUAAAUAUGUUCAUGUUUUUAUUGUACUUUGUUUUGGAGAUAUUCAGUUUCAUAUGUAAUUGAAUCCAGUAAAUCCAUCUACGUUUCAUUUAUCCGAAAGCUGUUGUUUAUGUGAGCUCCAAAUAUUGACUUUGCUAUUUUCAGUAACUUUGCCUGUAAUAACAAAAGGUUGAGUAAAACAAAAAUUUUUCUUGGUGCAUCCCAAGUCACUACACUUCUAUACAAGCUAAUAAAAAGUGUUUGAGAACUGAAA